rnacentral:lncRNA from 10 species
GUGUAAUAUGUGGACAACUUGAAUUUAGCAUAGUGACAGACUAUGCAGAAAGGGUAGGCUCAACCAGGUGUGAGCCACUGCGCCCGGCCUAUAUUCUUAUAAUAAUGGACAAUUUAGAUAAAGCAACUUUAAUACUUCUGUUCCAUUCAUACUGAAAAUUGGCAUGAUGGUUUAUCUUUUUUUCAAGUCAUUGUUGCCAAUAAGCUAGGCAACUGGCAAACAUCAUGUAUGAAAUUUUUUGGGCUUGACAUACUUUCCAGUGGUAAUUGCUUCUAGUGGUUGGCUAGGUGGGGGUAUGAGUUAGAGUAGGCUCUGGGUAUCCACAGGUUCUACAUUCGCAGAUUCAACCAACUGCAGAUUGAAAAUAGGGGAAAAUAACCAUACAAUAAUAAAUAAUAGUGCAAGUAAAAUAUACACUAUAACAGCUAUUUUACAUAGCAUUUACAUUGUAUUAAGUGUUAUAAGUAAAGAUGAUUUAAAGUACAUGAGGUAGGUUAUGUGUAAAUACUAUACCAUUUUAUGUCAGAGGCUUGUGCAUCCUCCCAUUUUGGUAUCUGUGGGGAGUCCUGGAACCAAUUCCCAGUGGAUACUGAGGGAUGACUGUAUGAUAUGUCUUGUUAACUUGACCAAGAGUGGUAGUAAAGCAAGUGUAACUUGAUAUCACUUAGCACAUCCUGCUGUUACAAUAAGGCUUACUCAUGAUUUUUCUGAAUAACAUAAUUUAUAUUAAAUGUCCUAAAUACUAGCACUGAUCAAGUUUAAGAGCAUUCCUAGUGAAAUAUUUUCUUAUUAAUGCAGUUCCCUUCAUAUGUAUAUUUAUUUAUUUAUUUCCUUCCUUCCUUCCUUCCUUCCUUCUUUCUCUCUCUCUCUCUCUCUCUUUCUUUCUUUCUUUCAACAGAGUCUUGCUCUG